rfam:TNVERIFIED: Cronobacter phage S13, complete genome.
GCGUCGUUGGCAGAAUGGCUAUUGCAGCGGACUGUAAAUUCGCCCUCUUCGGAGAUUCCUAGUUCGAGUCUAGGACGGCGCA